UACGGGGGGGGCAAGCGUUGUUCGGAGUUACUGGGCGUAAAGGGCUCGUAGGUGGCCAACUAAGUCGGACGUGAAAUCCCUCAGCUUAACUGGGGAACUGCGUCCGAUACUGGAUGGCUUGAGUUUGGGAGAGGGAUGCGGAAUUCCAGGUGUAGCGGUGAAAUGCGUAGAUAUCUGGAGGAACACCGGUGGCGAAGGCGGCAUCCUGGACCAACACUGACACUGAGGAGCGAAAGCCAGGGGAGCAAACGGG
rnacentral:rRNA from 1 species